UUCUGUCUUCUCUUCACUCAGAUCCAAUUUGUUCCUCUUACUCUCACUUUCUCUCUCACUCUCACUAGGGCAACCACCGCCUCCAUCGCCACAACCUCCGACUCUCACUCUCUCAGAUCUGUCUUCUCGGCCGGCCGUCGAUGCCCCUGCCACGCUCCACCGCCACCGCCGACACAGCGCUUGCCUCAGCCACUGCUGACGACGGAGAUAGCACUGCCAAACCCGCCGCCGCUGACGACGACGACCCUGGUUCUGAUCUCCCAGAUCUGUCUUCUCGGACUCUCGCUGGUCGUCGGCGUUCUCCUUUGUGCAGCAGCGCAACCGACGUCAUCCGUAUAGCAGAAAAAGUAUGCUUCAAAAAAUGAACCUGAGCAGAAUGGGAUCGCAAAGCUAGAACUGCUCUGUUUGAUGGUAUUGAGGAAGGUGGCAUCCGGGCUUCAUUAUCAUACUCUUCUCAUGAGAUUUACUUUUUCAAAAGCCUCUAAUGUGAGUUAGUCAACAAUCAGCUGAUAUGAAUGCAAUAGUCUAGCAGAAAAGGCCACAUACGAACAGAAUCUUAACUGGAACCAUGAACAAAUUCAAGAUGGUGUAUUAAAUUAACUGGUCUCAGUCUUAUUUUCCUCACUUGGUGUGUAUACCUGUAUGCACUGAAUGAAUGUCUAUCUGUUUGUUUGCUUAAGGUUAGUUGAGAUGCUGGAUGGUUAAGAAAGAAAAUGAAAUUGAUAGGAUGAAGAAAGAAAAUCACAGCAUGCAGAUUGAGCUCAGUCUGUUAACCGUACCAGCUGCAGGAAGAUCAUUGGAGCAAUCCCCUGCUAGUUGAAGAUUCUCAACAUGUCAAUUCAGUUGCCAAUCUUGACUGCACACUUACUCCGGUGGUCCAAUGUUGGUGACAGUAUGGAGAGAUGUAUUAGUUUGGAGAUUGAAUCAGAAGUCGAUCAAUUUCAGAAUGUUAUAAAUUUCAACUGUAUAUUCAUAUUCUUGAAUGAAUUCUCUUCAUAAAUUAUUCCA